UAAAUUCUAAGUUUGGCGAUAAGAGCAUACAUGUCCAGUGUUACUCUCUUUAAAAUAAUACAAAAGCUGCAAAAUGCAAUCAUUAUUGCAGCUGUUGCAUUAUUUUAAAGAGAGUAAAUAAUGGACAUUGCAUUCAUCCAACAAACUAAAUACUGCUGUCAAAUUUACAAGUUAAUCCAUGAAUCGAGAAAUAAACAAACUAAACCUACUGCCUACACAAAACAUAACAUGUAUGUUGGCAGAGUAGCGUAUUACAGUGGAAUACAAAGCACCAACUAGGAAAACAAGAAUGCGAUCAAACAGUGGUAUGUGUCCACCCAAAUUGGCUCAACUGUUAAA
rnacentral:lncRNA from 1 species